rnacentral:misc_RNA from 1 species
UAUGUUAAAACAAACCCUCAUUCUUUAAAAAAGAGGGCUUUUUAAGAAAACACCCUUUAAGAAAAAGUUUUUUAUAAAAUGAAAGAAAAACUUUCUUGGAAGAGUGUAUUUUUUAUCUAAGAGUUUGCUCUUUUAUUUGAGAGUUUGCUUUUUUAAGAGUUUUCCGGGGAAGGUUUUCCGGUUUAUCCCGGAGGGCUUGUAGCUCAGUUGGUUAGAGCGCGGAUUGAUAAACGAGAGGCGGAAUUCUGUCUCCCCCCCCCCAAAAACACAUCAAAUAAUA